rfam:Anopheles gambiae str. PEST chromosome X, whole genome shotgun sequence.
AUUACUAUUAGCUCUGCAAUGGGAUGGGAUCCGAAGACCUUCGAGGGAUAAUACAGGCUCUCCCAUCUAACUCCUAUUCCAACACGUCCUCGUCGUGCAGAGUGGUAACAUGUGCCAUCACUUAUCCAAGCUUGGGUACACAGGCUUGACCCAACCCCUUGGGCGGAUGGUGGCACAUGGCGAACCAGGAGAGG